GAGUUCAUAGUUUAAGAAGAAUGAUGGUUUUGUAAACUUUAGGUGUUGAAAAAGCUGGGCUCU
rnacentral:tRNA from 1 species